CAGCCGCCGCGGGAAUACGAAGGGGGCUAGCGUUGUUCGGAAUUACUGGGCGUAAAGCGCACGUAGGCGGACAUUUAAGUCAGGGGUGAAAUCCCGGGGCUCAACCCCGGAACUGCCUUUGAUACUGGGUGUCUAGAGUAUGGAAGAGGUGAGUGGAAUUCCGAGUGUAGAGGUGAAAUUCGUAGAUAUUCGGAGGAACACCAGUGGCGAAGGCGGCUCACUGGUCCAUUACUGACGCUGAGGUGCGAAAGCGUGGGGAGCAAACAGGAUUAGAUACCCGCGUAGUCCCUGUCUCUUAUAC
rnacentral:rRNA from 1 species